rnacentral:rRNA from 1 species
UAAGGAAUAUUGGUCAAUGGAGGAAACUCUGAACCAGCCAUCCCGCGUGCAGGAAGAAGGGGCUCUGCCUUGUAAACUGCUUUUGCAUGGGACGAAAAAGCGAGAUUUAUCUUGAACUGACGGUACCAUGAGAAUAAGCACCGGCUAACUCCGUGCCAGCAGCCGCGGUAAUACGGAGGGUGCGAGCGUUAUCCGGAAUCACUGGGUUUAAAGGGUGCGUAGGCGGUUGUAUAAGUCAGUGGUGAAAGGCCGUAGCUUAACUAUGGGAUUGCCAUUGAUACUGUAUAACUUGAGAGAGGUUGAGGUUGGCGGAAUGUGGCAUGUAGCGGUGAAAUGCAUAGAUAUGCCAUAGAACAUCGAUUGCGAAGGCAGCUGACUGGACCUUAUCUGACGCUGAGGC